UACGGAGGGUGCAAACGUUGCUCGGAAUCAUUGGGCGUAAAGCGCACGUAGGCGGCCUGUUAAGUCGGGUGUGAAAGCCCUGGGCUCAACCCAGGAAGUGCACUCGAAACUGGCGGGCUUGAAUAUGGAAGAGGGCCGCGGAAUUCCCGGUGUAGAGGUGAAAUUCGUAGAUAUCGGGAGGAACACCAGUGGCGAAGGCGGCGACCUGGGCCAAUAUUGACGCUGAGGUGCGAAAGCGUGGGGAGCAAACAGG
rnacentral:rRNA from 1 species